CCUACGGGAGGCAGCAGUGGGGAAUAUUGGACAAUGGGGGAAACCCUGAUCCAGCGACGCCGCGUGAGUGAAGAAGUAUUUCGGUACGUAAAGCUCUAUCAGCAGGGAAGAAAAUGACGGUACCUGACUAAGAAGCCCCGGCUAACUACGCGCCAGCAGCCGCGGGAAUACGUAGGGGUCAAGCGUUAUCCGGAUGUACAGGGUGUAAAGGGAGCGUAGACGGCAGCGCAAGUCUGGAGUGAAAUGCCGGGGCCCAACCCCGGAACUGCUCUGGAAACUGUGGAGCUGGAGGGCAGGAGAGGUAAGCGGAAUUCCUGGUGUAGCGGUGAAAUGCGUAGAUAUCAGGAGGAACACCAGCGGCGAAGGCGGCUUACUGGACUGUAACUGACGGUGAGGCGCGAAGGCGUGGGGAGCAAACAGGAUUAGAUACCCGUGUAGUC
rnacentral:rRNA from 1 species